UACGUAGGGUCCGAGCGUUGUCCGGAAUUACUGGGCGUAAAGAGCUCGUAGGCGGUGUGUCGCGUCGGCCGUGAAAACCUGCAGCUUAACUGUGGGCUUGCGGUCGAUACGGGCAGACUAGAGGUAGGCAGGGGAGAGCGGAACUCCUGGUGUAGCGGUGGAAUGCGCAGAUAUCAAGGGAAGAACACCGGUGGCGGAAGGCGGCUCUCUGGGGCCUU
rnacentral:rRNA from 1 species